GGAGAUGUAGCUCAGUUGAUAGAGUGCUUGCCUAACAUGCAUGAAGCUAGGGUUUGAUUCCCCAGCAUUA
rnacentral:tRNA from 1 species